AUUGGACGCUGGCGGCAUGCUUUACACAUGCAAGUCGAACGGCAGCGCGGGCUUCGGCCUGGCGGCGAGUGGCGAACGGGUGAGUAAUGCAUCGGAACGUGCCCAGUAGUGGGGGAUAGCCCGGCGAAAGCCGGAUUAAUACCGCAUACGACCUGAGGGUGAAAGCGGGGGACCGAAAGGCCUCGCGCUAUUGGAGUGGCCGAUGUCGGAUUAGCUAGUUGGUGGGGUAAAGGCUUACCAAGGCGACGAUCCGUAGCUGGUCUGAGAGGACGACCAGCCACACUGGGACUGAGACACGGCCCAGACUCCUACGGGAGGCAGCAGUGGGGAAUUUUGGACAAUGGGGGCAACCCUGAUCCAGCCAUGCCGCGUGCGGGAAGAAGGCCUUCGGGUUGUAAACCGCUUUUGUUCGGGAAGAAAUCCUCUGGGCUAAUACCCCGGGGGGAUGACGGUACCGGAAGAAUAAGCACCGGCUAACUACGUG
rnacentral:rRNA from 1 species